CUUCGCGUAGCUCAGUGGAUAGAGCGACCGUGAUCUAAACGGGAGGUCACGAUGGGUUCGAGUCCCGUCGCGCGGA